rnacentral:rRNA from 1 species
UAGGGAAUCUUCCACAAUGGGCGAAAGCCUGAUGGAGCAACGCCGCGUGUGUGAUGAAGGCUUUAGGGUCGUAAAGCACUGUUGUAUGGGAAGAAAUGCUAGAAUAGGGAAUGAUUCUAGUUCGACGGUACCAUACCAGAAAGGGACGGCUGAAUACGUGCCAGCAGCCGCGGUAAUACGUAUGUCCCGAGCGUUAUCCGGAUUUAUUGGGCGUAAAGCGAGCGCAGACGGUUGAUUAAGUCUGAUGUGAAAGCCCGGAGCUCAACUCCGGAAUGGCAUUGGAAACUGGUUAACUUGAGUGUUGUAGAGGUAAGUGGAACUCCAUGUGUAGCGGUGGAAUGCGUAGAUAUAUGGAAGAACACCAGUGGCGAAGGCGGCUUACUGGACAACAACUGACGUUGAGGCUCGAAAGUGUGGGUAGCAAACAGGAUUAGAUACCCUGGUAGUCCACACCGUAAACGAUGAAUACUAGGUGUUAGGAGGUUUCCGCCUCUUAGUGNCGAAGCUAACGCAUUAAGUAUUCCGCCUGGGGAGUACGACCGCAAGGUUG